CCCUUAGAUGUUCUAGGCCGCACGCGCGCUACAAUGGUCUUCGCAAACGGAUGCAUUCUCGAAGGAGAAUGCCAAUCUUGGAAUCUAUGCCUUGGUCGGGACAGUUGCUUGCAAUUUUUCGACUCGAACCAGGAAUUCCUUGUAAUCGUGAUUCAUCACAUCACGAUGAAUACGUCCCUGCCCUUUGUACACACCGCCCGUCGCUCCUACCGAUCGAAGAGUUAGGUGAAUUGUUUUGAUCGAUAAGAUUUGACUAUGGUCAACUCUCGUUGUGAAAUUCUGUGAAUCUGACUGUUUAGAGGAAGGAAAAGUCGUAACA
rnacentral:rRNA from 1 species